GUAGGGUCCAAGCGUUAAUCGGAAUUACUGGGCGUAAAGCGUGCGCAGGCGGUUGUGCAAGACCGAUGUGAAAUCCCCGAGCUUAACUUGGGAAUUGCAUUGGUGACUGCACGGCUAGAGUGUGUCAGAGGGGGGUAGAAUUCCACGUGUAGCAGUGAAAUGCGUAGAGAUCUGGAGGAAUACCGGUGGCGAAGGCGGCCCCCUGGACAAAGACUGACGCUCANGUGCGAAAGCGUGGGGAGCAAACAGGAUUAGAUACCCUGGUAGUCCACGCCGUAAACGAUGUCGACUUGGAGGUUGUUCCCUUGAGGAGUGGCUUCCGGAGCUAACGCGUUAAGUCGACCGCCUGGGGAGU
rnacentral:rRNA from 1 species